GUCUUUUUGAAUUUAAUUUAAAGUCUAAUCUGCCCACUGAUUGAUUUAAAGGGCCGCAGUAUAUUAACUGUGCAAAGGUAGCAUAAUCAUUAGUCUUUUAAUUGGAGGCUUGUAUGAAUGAUUGGACGAGAUAUUGACUGUUUCAAAUAAAUUUUUAUAGAAUUUUAUUUUUUAGUUAAAAAGCUAAAAUAAUUUUAAAAGACGAGAAGACCCUAUAGAUCUUUAUAUUUAUAAUAUUUUAUUUUAUAAGAAUUAAUUUAAAUAAUAUAUUAAAUAAUAUUUUGUUGGGGUGAUAUUGAAAUUUAAAAAACUUUCAAUUUUAAUAAAACAAAAAUUAUUGAAUUUUUUUUGAUCCUUUAUUAUUGAUAAAAAAUUCAAGUUACCUUAGGGAUAACAGCGUAAUUAUUUUGGAGAGUUCUUAUCGAUAAAAUAGAUUGCGACCUCGAUGUUGGAUUAAGAUUAAUUCUAGGCGUAGCAGUUUAGUAUAUUAAGUCUGUUCGACUUUUAAAUUCUU
rnacentral:rRNA from 1 species